UGAUUGCGUUGGUGAGUUCCGGGUUC
rnacentral:sRNA from 1 species